GACGAACGCUGGCGGCGUGCCUAACACAUGCAAGUCGAACGGGACCAGGGGCAACUCUGGUUCAGUGGCGGACGGGUGCGUAACACGUGAGGAACAUGACUUUCGGCGGGGGAGUAGCCGGCCCAACGGCCGGGUAAUACCGCGUACGACCUGUUGGGGACGAUCCCCGACUUGGUGAAAGCAGCAAUGCGCCGAAAGAGUGCCUCGCGGCCUAUCAGCUAGUUGGUGGGGUAAUGGCCCACCAAGGCGACGACGGGUAGCCGGCCUGAGAGGGCGACCGGCCACACUGGGACUGAGACACGGCCCAGACUCCUACGGGAGGCAGCAGUGGGGGAAUCUUGCGCAAUGGGGCGAAAGCCUGACGCAGCGACGCCGCGUGAGGGAUGACGGCCUCGGUUGUAAC
rnacentral:rRNA from 1 species